rnacentral:lncRNA from 1 species
CAGGACACAGGCAAGCUCACAAGAAACUGCCUCGUAGGGCUGAGUGAAAUUUGCUGAUAGAGCUGCAGAAUCACAUUCCUCAAAGACAGGAAGGAGCUUAACGGAGAGGCCUGAUGGGAUUUGGAGAGCUGCCUGUUUCCUCUGCACUGCAGGAUGGGAUUGAGCGUGCCCCUGGCUGAGGAAGGAGGGCACAAGGACGCUGCGGCCGACAGGCCAGUUUCCAUAGGCAAGCCGUGGCUCAGCUGGCUCUUCCGCUCCAAGUCUCACAAGGCUGCAAUCAAGGUGUCAGCCUGGGCUACAGUGUGAUC